rnacentral:rRNA from 1 species
AUUGAACGCUGGCGGCAGGCCUAACACAUGCAAGUCGAACGAGUGGCGGACGGGAGUGUUAUGUCUGGGAAACUCCCUGCUGGUGGGGGAAAACCAUUGGAAACGGUAGCUAAUACCGCAUUCCAUCAGAUGUGCCCAGAUGGGAUUAGCUUGUUGGUGGGGUGACGGCUCACCAAGGCGACGAUCCCUAGAUGGUCUGAGAGGAUGACCAGCCACACUGGAACUGAGACACGGUCCAGACUCCUACGGGAGGCAGCGGUGGGGAAUAUGGCAGAAUGGGCGCAAGCCUGAGGCAGCCAUGCCGCGUGUAUGAAGAAGGCCUUCGGGUUGUAAAGUACUUUCAGCGGGGAGGCGUUACCCGCAGAAGAAGCACCGGCUAACUCCGUGCCAGCAGCCGCGGUAAUAC